rnacentral:misc_RNA from 1 species
UUCUCCUAUGUUAUGGAUAUGAUACAGAUAUGUUAUGAUCAUACAUGAUAUGAUGUGAUAAGACCAGGAGAGGCCUAAUAAGCCCCCGACUCACUAUUUUUGAUAGAGGAAGACCCGGGGAGUUUCUUUAUGAGUAGGGCACACUAGUUAUGUUAUGUAUUAAGAGGAAGUCUUGAUGAGCAUCUUUAUGAGCCAAGCAAGUUGGUUAUGGGAAAUCACUAGUGACAAAUCUAUCUUAUGUGAAUUUUGUGUGUUGUGAAAAAUCAUGCAUUUGAUUGCAUUGCAUAUAUAUGUAUUGAAUAAAAUGAAAAAUGAUAACUAUUAGUUUACUCAUUAAGCUUCCUAAAGCUUACCCCUUUCUUUUAAUCCAAGAUGAAGUGUUGCAGGAUUAGAGAUAUUUACAAGAAAGGAUAGUAAGAAGUUGAGGUUUAGUAAUUUUAUAUUUACGAUUUGAGGUUUUGUAAUGGACAUGUAAUUAUAAACUAUUAGAUACUAUGCUUGGUUUUAGUGGAUGUCAGUAUGUAAUAUGUAAGAACAAUAAUUGUAGGUAUGUUUGCCUUAAUCCAUAAGCACUCUCUUUUGAUUAUGUAAUAUGUAAGAACAAUAAUUGUAGGUAUGUUUGCCUUAAUCCAUAAGCACUCUCUUUUGAU